rnacentral:sRNA from 1 species
GGUUUCUCUGAAGCCCAACCUCCCACCCGUGUAUACCGUACCCUGUUGCUUCGGCGGGCCCGCCUCACGGCCGCCGGGGGACCUCGCGUCCCCGGGCCCGCGCCCGCCGAAGACCCCAACACGAACACUGUCUGAAAAGUGCAGUCUGAGUCGAUUGUUACCAAUCAGUCAAAACUUUCAACAAUGGAUCUCUUGGUUCCGGCAUCGAUGAAGAACGCAGCGAAAUGCGAUAACUAAUGUGAAUUGCAGAAUUCAGUGAAUCAUCGAGUCUUUGAACGCACAUUGCGCCCCCUGGUAUUCCGGGGGGCAUGCCUGUCCGAGCGUCAUUGCUGCCCUCAAGCACGGCUUGUGUGUUGGGCCCCGUCCCCGGUACCCCCGGGGACGGGCCCGAAAGGCAGCGGCGGCACCGCGUCCGGUCCUCGAGCGUAUGGGGCUUUGUCACCCGCUCUGCAGGCCCGGCCGGCGCCAGCCGACCAACCCAACCAUUUUUUACAGGUUGACCUCGGAUCAGGUAGGGAUACCCGCUGAACUUAAGCAUAUCAAUAAGCGGAGGAAAAGAAACCAACCGGGAUUGCCUCAGUAACGGCGAGUGAAGCGGCAAGAGCUCAAAUUUGAAAGCUGGCUCCUUCGGGGUCCGCAUUGUAAUUUGCAGAGGAUGCUUCGGGUGCGGCCCCUGUCUAAGUGCCCUGGAACGGGCUGUCAGAGAGGGUGAGAAUCCCGUCUGG